rnacentral:lncRNA from 1 species
AUCCAACGCCGGCCAAAUUGAAGCACGUGUUCUGGGAGCGAAGCAGAAGAUGAAGGGGAGGAUGAAAAGAGCGCGUGCUGGUUCAUGAUGAUGAUAGUUUUCUGUUCGCUCUGCACGGACUAACGGUCGGCUUAAACAACUCCGCUGUUAAAAAAGGUCACUUCCAAUAGGCAGCAGCUUCUCCGCUCCAACGUUUGUUCACGUACCAUCACGUCUUUAAACCAUUAAGAUUCUCCAACAUGCAAAAUGUGCUCGGCCGACAAUGUUGCAUUUUUGGACUGCGGCCCGUUUCUAUGUGCGCUCCUGCGAGUGCAUGUGGUUAAAGUGCACUACGGGUGACGUCAUCUUCGCAACCGUGACGCCUGCAAAGAAUGGCUCGACUGCAAUCAUUUCCGUGUGCGGCGAGUCAUGUUUCCUCCUGCGAAUUUCGGUGCUCACGUUAUUUCUUCAGUGUACGCUUCGCAUCACCUCAUUUAUACGGGCGCUAAUGGUGCCUUAGACGACGAACUUGCAAGAUUUCCGGUGAUUGUGCGAGUGUAGUGACAAGUGGUUUCAGUGACGCUUCUUCAUCUGUGUUGGCAGGUCGGACGUCGCCACGGUCAACUGGACAUCAUGGCGCGCAGCCUUUCAACGUUCUGCGCGUGGUGAUCGCUUGCCGCGGCCGAAACGGAUUCUACUGAUCCGGAACAGGCCAAGCCACUCGAACGGGGACCACCCCUGUGACCAACCGCAGUGCGCAAACUUUCGCCGGCUUCCUUGCCAACGUAGGACUCGGCCCUCUGGUCGGCAAACAACGCCGAAAACGACGACGCGGGGCUCAUCCACGACUUUGACAGAGAGAGCAGGAGACUGACGGGCCGUGCAGACGAAUGCUGCUCCUACAGGUCUUCCCGGUGGCCCUGAAGCGGCGCUGACGAACGGAUGACGGCUUCGAGUUGACGGCAUCAAGACGACGACCACAAGAGCCCUCAAGUCGCUCGCUUGACUCGCUUUUUUGUUUCGCUCAGUUUUUCUUGCCGCCGACUUCUCGUCAUUUCCGCUGUGGCGCUGAUCUGGGCUUCUCUCUUCACGCUGCGCGUCCUUAUCCGGAACGCGCAGUGUUGCCUGACUCCUCGAGUCUCCUCCGCGGUAUGCGGCGGUCGCCGUAAGCCACUCGACGGCGUUGAAGUGCGCGCCUUCACCAAACAGCCAAUUGCCUUCAACGUCGCUCCGCCACCCGCACUUGGCUUUUUUUUUUUCUUCAAUUCCAUGCCUUCAAGUUCGUCCUCGGCUUUACCGCCUCCCCUCGGCGAAUUCCGUGCACCGAAACUUCUUUCGUCUUCGCAAUAUUUCUGUUCUUUCGUUCAUUCCCAGCGCGCCGCCUUCGUUCCCGAAUGAAUUUCCUUCGAGCAGCGU